rnacentral:tRNA from 1 species
ACCUAGGGUAGCCUAGUGGACAUGGCAUCUGCCCGGUAAGCGGAACACUGUGGGUUCGGUUCCCAUCCCUGGACA